AUUGAACGCUGGCGGCAGGCUUAACACAUGCAAGUCGAACGAGUGGCGGACGGGUGAGUAAUGCUUGGGAACCUAGCUUAUAGAGGGGGAUAACUAUGGGAAACUGUAGCUAAUACCGCGUACCAUAGGAUGAGCCCAUGUGGGAUUAGGUAGUUGGUGGGGUAAAGGCUCACCAAGCCGACGAUCUCUAGCUGGUCUGAGAGGAUGACCAGCCACACUGGGACUGAGACACGGCCCAGACUCCUACGGGAGGCAGCAGUGGGGAAUAUUGCGCAAUGGGGGCAACCUGACGCAGCCAUGCCGCGUGAAUGAAGAAGGCCUUCGGGUUGUAAAGGUCUUUCGGUAGCGAGGCGUUAACUACAGAAGAAGCACCGGCUAACUACGUGCCAGCAGCCGCGGUAAUUC
rnacentral:rRNA from 1 species